rnacentral:rRNA from 1 species
CCUACGGGUGGCAGCAGUGAGGAAUAUUGGUCAAUGGGCGGAAGCCUGAACCAGCCAAGUAGCGUGCGGGAUGAAGGCCCUACGGGUCGUAAACCGCUUUUGCACGGGGAUAACACCCUCCACUUGUGGAGGUCUGCAGGUACCGUGCGAAUAAGGGCCGGCUAAUUCCGUGCCAGCAGCCGCGGUAAUACGGAAGGCCCGAGCGUUAUCCGGAUUCAUUGGGCUUAAAGGGAGCGUAGGCGGGCGUUCAAGUCAGCUGUAAAAUCGCGCGGCUCAACCGCGCCCCGCAGUUGAAACUGGCAGUCUCGAGUUGGAGAGAAGUAUGCGGAAUGCGCGGUGUAGCGGUGAAAUGCAUAGAUAUCGCGCAGAACUCCGAUUGCGAAGGCAGCAUGCCGGCUCCACACUGACGCUGAGGCACGAAAGCGUGGGUAUCGAACAGGAUUAGAUACCCCUGUAGUC